rnacentral:lncRNA from 1 species
CAACAAGUGGUGGGAGCCUGGAGAAAUAUCUUUCAGCUCAUGUGUGAGAGUGUCCCUCAGAAUAUUAGGGCAGACAGAGCUGGCUCCAAGUGAAUAUGACACUUCAGAGACACCCUUGUCCCUGCAGGAUCCACCUGAGCAGCCUCCCCUGGUGCUCAUCAACCUCAGCUGGACCCUGGACCCUAGAUACCUGCAUCUGGCCACAGUCUCACUGCUGUCAGGGCCCAUCCUCCACAGCCAUCAGAGCCAUCUUUUAUCUUCUGUAAAGACAGAUCUGGCUCCUCUGUAGCCAAACCACAAGCAAUACCUCUUUACCCA